rnacentral:rRNA from 1 species
AACGAACGCUGGCGGCAUGCCUAGCACAUGCAAGUCGAACGAGACCUUCGGGUCUAGUGGCGCACGGGUGCGUAACGCGUGGGAACCUGCCCUUAGGUUCGGAAUAACUCCCCGAAAGGGGUGCUAAUACCGGAUAAUGUCUUCAGACCAAAGAUUUAUCGCCUUUGGAUGGGCCCGCGUUGGAUUAGCUAGUUGGUAGGGUAAAAGCCUACCAAGGCGACGAUCCAUAGCUGGUCUGAGAGGAUGAUCAGCCACACUGGGACUGAGACACGGCCCAGACUCCUACGGGAGGCAGCAGUGGGGAAUAUUGGACAAUGGGCGAAAGCCUGAUCCAGCAAUGCCGCGUGAGUGAUGAAGGCCUUAGGGUUGUAAAGCUCUUUUACCCGGGAUGAUAAUGACAGUACCGGGAGAAUAAGCUCCGGCUAACUCCGUG